UCGGGACUCACAGUGCCAGCCCCCAAACACAAGGAGUCUCAGAGUCCUCAUAAGGAUAAAGCGAUCCCAAUGCUGGCCUGGCCAUCCAGCCCUGCCACCUCCGCCCCAGCCCAGCAUGGACAGACCUGCCUGCAGCGGCUUCUCAGGCUGCAAGACACCAGGAGCCACAGGUCUCAGCGCUGUGAUGCCAGGUGGCAUCUCUAGCCCCAGGCAUCCUGGGAAGCCAAAAUUUCCUUAACCCUACACCACUCUGCCGCUCACCCCAAGCAAUCAGCCACAGGCUCCUGUGUUCCCACUGCCGACCCCAGACCACAACCCCUGCCUGGCCUCUAGCACCAGUGCCCUCUCUGUUCUUCCUGAGGAAACUGCCCUCCACUCUCAUCUCAUGUCACCCUCACCCAGGACCCUGCACACACAGGAUCCAGCCUGACUUGCACCACGCUACACACUUCAUCCAGGGCCCUGCGUCUCUGUAUAUCCAUCCCUGCUCUGCCGUGGGGCUGAAAUCCUCCUACGGGUCUCCCCUCUGUGACCAGCACCUUGACCAGCCCGUGAUCUAGUGCCCUGGCCUGUGUUGAGUGGACACCCUGGCUUCUCCCCAG